AAGUGAAGGUCGACCGUCGGCCCUCCCGCUCACAAGGCGGGCUAGGGGCCGCGGUGGAGGCCGAGGCGGGAUCCGAUGAAACAAACUUGAGAUCCAUGAAAAGCCGGGUCGGGGACAGCCGAUCCCUCGCGCCUUUUCCGCUUCGGCGGAGGGGCCGGGGGUGAAGCGCGCCUUCUGGCUUGCCAGUCGGCGUCAAUUGAAAAAGAACCCCGUCAUCCCGGUCGGCGCACCGCCGGCCCGUCUCUACCGCAGCGUCGGUGAGGCGGAGCAAGAGCGUACACGUUGGGACCCGAAAGAUGGUGAACUAUGCUCGGGCAGGACGAAGCCAGAGGAAACUCUGGUGGAGGUCCGUAGCGAUUCUGACGUGCAAAUCGAUCGUCGGACCUGAGUAUAGGGGCGAAAGACUAAUCGAACCGUCUAGUAGCUGGUUCCCUCCGAAGUUUCCCUCAGGAUAGCUGGCGCUCGGUGAGGAACGCAGUCUCAUCCGGUAAAGCGAAUGAUUAGAGGCCUUGGGGCCGAAACGACCUCAACCUAUUCUCAAACUUUCAAUGGGUGAGAAGUCCGGCAUGCCCGAUUUACGAAGCCCGGACGGCAUCCCGUUUCCGAACGGAUGCACGAAAACACAAUGACGGCGGCCGGCGACUCGUGCCCCGGCCGGGGGUCAAACCUCGG
rnacentral:rRNA from 1 species